GGAAUUUUUGGCAAUGGGGGCAACCUUGACCAAGCAACGCCGCGUGGAUGAUGAAGUAUCUCGGUACGUAAAAUCCUUUCGACAGGGAAGAAACCCGCAAGGGUUGACGGUACCUGUAGAAGAAGCCCCGGCUAACUCCGUGCCAGCAGCCGCGGUAAUACGGGGAGGGCGAGCGUUGUUCGGAAUUACUGGGCGUAAAGGGCGCGUAGGCGGUUUGCUAAGUUGGAUGUGAAAACUCUGGGCUUAACCCAGAGUCUGCAUCCAAAACUGGCAAGCUGGAGUUUUGGAGGGGGAAGCGGAAUUCCUGGUGUAGCAGUGAAAUGCGUAGAUAUCAGGAGGAACACCGGUGGCGAAGGCGGCUUCCUGGACAAAAACUGACGCUGAGGCGCGAAAGCUAGGGGAGCAA
rnacentral:rRNA from 1 species